rnacentral:rRNA from 1 species
GUGUCUGUCUCAAGAAUUACAAAAAAUAAAGCACAAAACUUUCAACAACGGAUCUCUUGGUUCUGGCAUCGAUGAAGAACGCAGCGAAAUGCGAUAAGUAAUGCGAAUUGCAGAAUUCAGUGAGUCAUCGAAUCUUUGAACGCACAUUGCGCCCUUU